AUCAGCUUGGGACAGCUGGAUGAGAACGGAUCACGCGUGCUGAUUGAGCAUGGGGUCCUACGCAUCUGGGAUCGCCAGGGUCGCCUUCUCGCCAAGGUACCCAGAGGUGGAAAUCGACUCUACGUCCUUGAUGUGCAGGUGGCACAACCGGUCUGUCUCGCUGUCCGUCGGGACGACGAGGCGUGGCAAUGGCAUGAGCGCUUUGGGCACCUUCACUUUGAGGCCCUGAAGCGUCUAAGUGCCAAGGAGAUGGUACGAGGCCUGCCAUGCCUCGACCAUGUGGAGCAGUUCUGCGACAUCUGCGUACUGACGAAGCAGAGACGACUCCCCUUUCCCCAACAGGCGAGUUUUCGGGCCAAGGAGAAGCUGGAGCUUGUGCACGGAGACUUGUGUGGCCCGGUGACGCCAGCCACACCAGGAGGUCGACGCUACUUCCUGCUGCUCGUCGACGAUCUCUCUCGCUACAUGUGGGCGAUGAUUCUCGGCAGCAAGGGGGAAGCGGCGGACGCCAUCAGGCGCGCGCAGGCUGGUGUGGAGGCGGAGAGCGGCCGCAAAUUGCGCGUGUUGCGCACUGACAACGGUGGCGAAUUCACGGUGGCUGAAUUCGCGUCGUACUGCGCCGAUGAGGGCAUCCAACGCCACUACUCCGCGCCGUACAGCCCGCAGCAAAACGGAGUCGUCGAGCGGCGCAACCAGACGGUUGUGGGGAUGGCUCGGGCUCUCCUCAAGCAGCGAGGGAUGCCGGUUGUUUUCUGGGGAGAGGCGGUGCUGACGGCCGUCUACAUCCUCAACCGCUCGCCUACUAAGGCACUCGACGGCAGGACACCGUAUGAGGCCUGGCAUGGGCGGAAGCCGGCGGUCUCCCAUUUGCGGGUUUUUGGCUGUCUUGCGUUCGCUAAGGAGCUUGGCCACAUCGGCAAGCUCGACGACAGGAGCACUCCGGGAGUCUUCAUCGGCUAA
rnacentral:rRNA from 1 species